rnacentral:rRNA from 1 species
AUACGUAGGAUCCGAGCGUUGUCCGGAUUUACUGGGCGUAAAGGGCGAGUAGGCGGCAUGCUAAGUCUCAUGUGAAAUCUCCCGGCUCAACUGGGAGGGGUCAUGGGAAACUGGCAAGCUUGAGAGCAGUAGAGGGAAGCGGAAUUCCCGGAGUAGUGGUGAAAUGCGUAAAUACCGGGAGGAACACCCGUGGCGAAAGCGGCUCUCUGGGCUGUACCUGACGCUAAGGCACGAAAGCGUGGGGAGCAAACCGGAUUAGAAACCCGAGUAGUCC